rnacentral:rRNA from 1 species
GAUGAACGCUGGCGGCGUGCCUAAUACAUGCAAGUCGAGCGAACAGACGAGGAGCUUGCUCCUCUGACGUCAGCGGCGGACGGGUGAGUAACACGUGGAUAACCUACCUAUAAGACUGGGAUAACUUCGGGAAACCGGAGCUAAUACCGGAUAAUAUAUUGAACCGCAUGGUUCAAUAGUGAAAGACGGUUUUGCUGUCACUUAUAGAUGGAUCCGCGCCGCAUUAGCUAGUUGGUAAGGUAACGGCUUACCAAGGCAACGAUGCGUAGCCGAUCUGAGAGGGUGGUCGGCCACACUGGAACUGAGACACGGUCCAGACUCCUACGGGAGGCAGCAGUAGGGAAUCUUCCGCAAUGGGCGAAAGCCUGACGGAGCAACGCCGCGUGAGUGAUGAAGGUCUUCGGAUCGUAAAACUCUGUUAUUAGUGAAGAACAAAUGUGUAAGUAACUAUGCACGUCUUGACGGUACCUAAUCAGAAAGCCACGGCUAACUACGUG